AUAAUCGAAGGGCUUCCAGCGUAGGGCGUAGGGGGAGAGGCCCGAAGCCCUGGAGACAGCGCCCGAGGGAUGGAGGCCGCGCUCGGCUGCGCUCAGGUCCGGGUGGCUCCGGGAGCUGAGACCCCGCAGGAUGCAGCGGGGGGGGGCCAGGGCCUGAUCCCCUACCCCUGCGAGCCAGGGCCGCCUACGCCCCCACUGCUUCCCACAGGUAACGUCCAGCCCUCUCCUCCCCUAUCCCCCGAAAUAUCCCGGUUCCGCUCCGCUCCGCUCGCCGCCCGUGACCCCGACCCCGACCCGUCCGCGACGGCGCCCUCCCCAGGAGGCAGCGGAGGACUAGGGCCAGGCCGCCCACCCUGGCGGCGGCGGCGGCUCCCGGCCAAGGCGGACCCUGGGGAGGACAGCAGCUGGGCCGCGGCCUGUCCCUAGGGGGAGCGGGCGCAGGGCCGCGAGUGGGCAGCGCCUCCGCCCCGCACGAACAAAGCGGCCAGGCGCGCCGGGCCGAGGCAGCACCGCCUCUCCGGGAGCGCGGGGGGCGGGGAGGAUGGCGGGGGUACUCACCUGAGGGCCGGCGGAGGGCGCGGGCGGGACAGGCCCAGGAGACGGGACCGCGGCGGGCCGGGGCUCCGCGCCGAGGGCGCACGGGCUACGGGGAAGGGGCGACCGGCGCGACGUCCGCGGCGGGGCCCGGGAGCCCCGCGCCGCGGGCCGGGGGCCGGGGCCCGAGCUCGAUUCUGCGGCCGCGAGGUAUGGGAACCGGUCCGCCGGGCCAGGCAGCGGUGCUAGGCAGCAGGGGCAGCGACGCCGCCGCCUUUCCCUUCUCCUGCCCCCGUCCCUGCUCCGCCGCGUCCUCGUCCUCGCUGGGUCCCCGCCGCCGCCGCCUCAGCCUCGGCGCUCCUCGGGUUUCUUCUCUCCAUCAAGGCCGGGCCGACCCGCAGGGACCAUCCCGGAAAGUGAGGGGUUGUUGCCGUUUCCCGCAGCUGUUGGUGGCCAUCUUUAAUCCUCCUCCUCCUCCUGCUUUCUCCACCUCCCGCUGGCUGUCUGACUGACUGACUGGAUCCUCCUCUUUCCCCUCCUGCUCCUCCUACUGAGCCGGCCGCAGAAAUUGCAGCCGCUCAGCUUCUACCCCCUCCUGCCUUUCCUUCCUCUUUCCUUACUUCCUUCCCUUCCCUCGGCUUCCCGCUCUUGCCUCACUCUCAGCGGCUGCCUUCGCCCCUGUCUGCAGACAGCGCCGCUGGAUGCUCCCAGCUGGACUUCAACCCCACUCCUCUCAGUCCCUCUCCCCACUGCCUUCCAGACGCGCCUCUUCCCCGCCCCGCGCCCCUCUCUCCUCUCCCACCCCUGCCCCUCUCCGCGGCGCUCACCCUCCUCAGUCCCAGUUUCUGAAAGGACUCAGCUGAGAAAGGACAACUGGGUUCCGCUUUCCUUAACCCUACACCCUUUAGCUGGAUGCUGUCAGAGGCGAUGGAGAAACGCAAAGGCUACUAGACGCAACAAUAGAAUUACCAUAUUGUUUUUCCUGGUUUGAAAGGACCAGAUGGAAAGAAACUGGGCAAGCCAAUGAAAGUCUCUGGGGAUCAUGGGAAUUGAGUGUCUAUGAAAACCAUAUUCCAGACAAGAAUAUAGUCUAAGGUUUAUGGGACUCCCCAGUACUCUCCAUGUAGAGUCUAAUGUAGAAUCCAGGAGUGCACAGAAAAGUCACUGGAUGACACAGCAAGAGGCAACAUUUUGGAAGCAGAGGGCAACUCUCACUGGAAACCAAAUCUCCUGGCACCUUGAUCUUGGAUUUUACAGCCUCCAGAACUGAUAGCUGGGAGGCAUUACAUAGUCAUGUGCGAGGUCAAAACUGAGUCACCACCACAACCAAGUUCCAGCUGGCAAGAAGAGGAAAAAUAACACAGAGGAGUUAUGACCAGUGUUGUAAGGAUCUGGCCUAGAAAUGGCAUGCAUCUCUUCCACUAAUAUCCUAUUGGUAAAAAUGUAGUCACAUGGGCACACCACCUAUCUGCAUGGAAGGCUGGGAAAUGUUGAUCGGUAGGGCAGCCAUAUGUGUAGGAAGGAGAAAACAGAAUUUGGUGGAUACCUAGUAGUCUCUGCCAUACCCUUGACCAGAAAUUUUUCUUCUAAAGAAUUUAAUUCUAAAAGUUAUAGACAUUCCCAAAGAUAUACCUGCAAGCAUCACAGCUUUGUGUAUAAUUGCAAAAGUUGAAAUCAACAUGAAUGCCCAAAAUAGUGAAUUAUUUAAACAGAUUAUUACCCAUAUUAUGAAGAAAUACUCUGCAACUCUUAAAAAUAAAUGUAAUGUGCCAGGCGCAAUGGGAUAUGCCUGCAGGCCCAGCUACACGGGAGGCCAAGGCAGGAGGAUCACUUGAAAUCAAGAGUUCAAGUCUAGCCUAGACAACAUAGUGAGACUUGGUCUCUAAAAAAGAAAAAAAAAAAUAAAACUGAUGUAAUGAAUAUAUAAUUACAACAAAAGAGGUCUAACACUAUAGUAGAAAAGUUUGGGGCACUCAUCCCAUUCAUAAUUAUUUUACAUUUAAAUUACUGUUCCUACUUAAGUGGUGAGCUUGGUAACCAUUUUCAUAUCAGGUGAUACUGCUGCAGUAAUCAUAGCUGUUUGAAUCAGGAAUAAUCCCAAUCACAUUUUCUCUUAAUCGUUUAUUAUACUGGGCAUUGGGGUUGCAAGAUAAUGCACAGUCCGAGCUCAAUACAUGUCUUCAUGUACCUGUAUGUAAAUCCCACUUUUAUUCUAAAAUUCUUUGAAUAUUUUGUUUCUUGGAACCCAAUGAUCCUAAGAAAAUUAUGUACUUUUACCUGAAAAUUAAAACCAAUAUUUAUAAAAAGUGUAUAUGCAGUAUGAUACCACUUUUAAAAAAAGAUAAAUUUAUAGAAAAAAGUUUAUAUGACUGACAACAAUGUCUCUGAGUGGUAGGAUUACAGUUAAUUUUUAUUUUCUUCAUUCUACUUAUCUUUAUUUUCUGAACUUUCUACAAUGAACAUGUUUUAUUUUUACUUUUGUUAAAAUAAAUAACAUUUAAUUUGACGGAAAAUUCUAAAAAUCAACAUUUGGUAACUUAAAUAUUCAUUGGCACAUGAUUCUGUGCCUGUUUCUGGGGGUCAUUCCCAUGAGAAGAGCAGGUAGAACUUAUGAGAAUAGAGCAGUCGAAAUAUUAUAGGUUUCAUAUUUUACGGCUUUAUUGAAAACAUUGAUAUAUUGAAUAUUCAUAAAUUUUAAUUUAACUUUCUUUUAUAAUCCUUAAUGUGAGGCUAAGGUAUAAGGAGAAAGGAGAUUGGUAAGGAAGUGUGAUACAUAUUGAAUCAGGUGUCAAGGUACCAUUUGUGCCUGGAUCUGACCAAUAGACCAAGGUAAAAAUCUCAAAGAAUGAGACUUGUAAUGAGAAUGCCACAAACUUGAAUACCUUAUGCACAAAACACAAACAUUGUUAUGCAUAAUGUACAUGAACCCUGAAACAAAGAUAAUGAUUUGGACCACCCAACUGAAGUGGCAUGUUAUGUUUUUGGCAUGAACAAAAGAAACAAGAGAGAAAAAAAUCAAAAUAAUUAAAAUAAAUUGUUAGAGAAAAGUUACUUUAAAAAUAGCUAUAACGCUUUGCAAUUUCAGUAACAGUUCUGCCUCUGAUGCAAUGUAAAACAUGUAUUAGACAUUCAGGCUCCACAAUAAAUUUUAAUGAGCACUACAAAUUUAGAAUAUAUAAAAAUAUCAGUAACCUAUGAAUUCAUCAACAUAACUCACUUUUCAGUUAAGUUAGGCUGAGUUGAAAUUCUACUAAGUUUUCCCAUAUUCUUGAUAAAGGCUAAAUUUGAAAUAAUUUAUUUAGAUGACUAAUUGGCAAUUUGAUAGUAGUUACAUUUUAUGUAACACUUGAUAUAAUAACCCAAAUUAAUUAGCUCAAUAUUAUCUUCUGUGGUUUAUUGAUCCAAAAGUACAUAUUUGUUAUGUAAACUUAUACUAUGUAAACUUGAAUUAGUUUUUUGCUUCCUUGAAUUAAUAAAGCCCAUUAAUGCAAAUCUAAGCCUUCAUAGACUUUUCCAAUCCUUAGUUAAAUAUUAAAAACUGAGUAUUGUAGUUAUUUGCUAGGUAUAAAAGGUGACUCAGAGUAGAGAGUAAGAUGUCAGCAAAUAGACAAUAAGAUGUCAGCAAAAGUGCCUCAAAUUUUAACUGCGUCAAGUUAAGGGCAUUGUAAAUACUGUAGUUUUAUGUAGCUUGCAACUUCUACUGAAAUGAGUUUAAUCAUGUCUUUCACAUAGCUGAAGUUUGUGUCAAGAUUUAAGCUGAUUUUCUCAUUCUUAUCAAAGUCUCACCUGGGGGUAGGGAGGGGUAGGCCUACCUCCCACCUCUAUACUAUCAUUUUAGGAACAGACAGGCAUAAAUCUGUUCAUAUGGUAGAACACAUGAUGUUAGAGUAUAUUUUGUUGAAUGCUAUGGAAUAUUAAUAUAAUUAAUUCUAAAAUAUCACCUAAAAUAUGUCAACUGAAGAUCUGACUGUACUAAAUAUGAAAAAUAAAGCAGCACAUACUUUCUCUACUGUUUUCCUG
rnacentral:lncRNA from 1 species